ACCGCCGCGCAGACUCCGUGGCCGCCGCCUCCCAGCGCGCCAGGGCUUCUGCGGGCGCAGGGAGUGGGUUUAGGUCCGAGCCCUCGCUCCCGCCGGGCCAACCCCGGCCUUUGAGUUUACGGUCUGCCUACGAUUUGCAGCCUUGCCUCGUGCGAAUUAAAUUUGUGUGCUGUUUGCGUGACCUUGGCGUGUCACCUGCAGGGCUUUUCAUGAUUCACUGGGGGUUUCAGCCCAACACAAGCCAGUUUGGUGGUUGACAAUGUUUGGGUUUCUGGAGGAUGCUACUUCAGCUCUGGGAGACGUUCUUCAAAACCACUGGCCUGCCCGGCCUCCUCAACACAUCUCCCACUGAGGGGCAGAGUCAGAAUUUGAACCUAGAGCAGCUGCUUUUAACCUCAGUGGCCUCAGGCCCUUCCCUGAGGCAGGCAGUUUGAGUCCCAGCUGCCCGCACCAUCAGACUGGGGGAGCUCCUAGAAUGCAAAGCCUGCAUCUGCCUCUUUCCCUGCUGCCGCACAUUCGUCAUGCAGUAAAUGUGAGCCGUGUCCUCCCCAUCCCUGUGCCCCUCUUCCACAUGAAGAAACCAGAGCCCAGAGAGGCCAAGUCACAGGGCAGGGUCACACAGCAGCCUCUGGUCACUACCAGAUUCCCUCUGGAGCUGGAGCCCCCACAGACCUGCAGGACCCCUCUGACCUGACUUGUCAACCCUCCACUGGGUCACAGCCAGCGAGGGAAAAGGGGUGUUGGGGAGUAAGAAUUUCCUGUCCCCUUCUAGAUCCUUCUAGCUGGACUAAGAAUCAAAUUGACAUGAGACAGGUUAACAAGAAAAAAUCAAAUUUAAUUUCAUAUGGAAACAGACACGGAAACUUCCAAAGGCAGGCAAAAUCAGGUUUAUACAUCAUUCUAAACUACAGAGAGGAGGAAGUAAGGGUCUGGGACUUCAUAGGGAAGGAAUACAAUUCACAGGAAGAUGUCUAGUAAUGUAUUCUAGGCCACUCAGAGAGAAUGGGACACCCAGGAUUUUGAUCAAAUAGGCCUUGUGAGGUUUCUUCCUGUCUACCAUAUCCAAUUCACGGUAUGAUGUAGUUAUCUAUUGGUGAGAACUCUCUUCCUGGGGCAGUUCCUCUGUUUAAAUCCUUUUUAGGCAAUCAUGGGGGAGGAAUGAGCUUUUGCUGAAUAUGCUGGGUUUUGAUUGCUUUUUGUUAUU